rnacentral:lncRNA from 1 species
GUACUUAGCCUGGUGUGGUUUGACUUCUGUAAAGUCAAUUUCUUACUUUUUUCUUGGCGACUUUUUCCAGAGACAGUGGCCUGGGCUGGGUUUAGGACUUUGUUUGGCAUUUACUUGGGCUCAGGUUGUGCACUGGAGAGCUGCUUAAUCUUUAGGCUUUGAAGACUGGGGAUCUUAAAAUGGCUCUGGAGGAGCUGAGGUAGCUUUGCUCUUCUUAAAUGGGUGAUAGACUGUACGUAACUGGUUAAAGUUUGUUUAAGAGUUCAGGGUAUGAAGAUUCUAGAGUCAGGAAGAAUCUACUAACUUUCCUGAUUUUUAUUGGCUCUGAGAUCCGAAGCCAGUUGUUGUUGUUGUUGAGUAUACGGGAUUGUCAGGCAGAUCUGGCUGUGGAAAGGAGACUGUGGGCAGCAAGUUUAGAGGCGUGACUGAAAGUCUUGCUGCGACCUGAGCUGCUGAAUCAGCUUUCUGGUUACUAUGGGCCACGGCCGUGUUUUCUUUUUGAUGUCCUUUGCGGUGGAUCACAGCUACCUGCUGAGAAACUCCUGGAGGGCAGAGGCAUGCCUGCCAUCUUCAUCAUUGCAUUACCACCACCCAACACUAUCGGGGGACCUGCCCUGAUAAUCAGUCUACAGGUGUAUCCAGCAGCUCCAGAGAGACAGCGACCAGCGAGAAGGGGCCAUGAUGAUGGUGGUGGUUUUGUCAAAACGAAAAGGGGGAUA